UACGUAGGGGGCAAGCGUUGUUCGGAAUUACUGGGCGUAAAGCGCGCGCAGGCGGCUAUCCAAGUCAGUGGUGAAAGCCCGGAGCUCAACUCCGGAACUGCCAUUGAAACUGUUUAGCUUGAGGACGAGAGAGGUGAGUGGAAUUCCCAGUGUAGAGGUGAAAUUCGUAGAUAUUGGGAAGAACACCGGUGGCGAAGGCGGCUCACUGGCUCGUAUCUGACGCUCAGGCGCGACAGCGUGGGGAUCAAACAGG
rnacentral:rRNA from 1 species